AAACAACAGGNAUUGCUCAGUAACGGCGAGUGAAGCGGCAACAGCUCAAAUUUGAAAUCUGGCCUCUGGCCCGAGUUGUAAUUUGCAGAGGAUGUUUCUGGCGAGGUGCCUUCCGAGUUCCCUGGAACGGGACGCCAUAGAGGGUGAGAGCCCCGUACGGUUGGUCGCUAAGCCUCUGUGAAACUCCUUCGACGAGUCGAGUAGUUUGGGAAUGCUGCUCUAAAUGGGAGGUGUACGCCUUCUUAAGCUAAAUACCGGCUAGAGACCGAUAGCGCACAAGUAGAGUGAUCGAAAGAUGAAAAGCACUUUGAAAAGAGGGUUAAAAAGUACGUGAAAUUGUUGAAAGGGAAGCGCUCUUGACCAGACUUGCGCCGGUUGAUCAUCCGCCGUUCUCGGUGGUGCACUCUGCCGGCUCAGGCCAGCAUCAGUUCGGUCCGGGGGAUAAAGGCUUCGGGAAUGUGGCUCUCUCCGGGGAGUGUUAUAGCCCGUUGCGUAAUACCUGGGCUGGACUGAGGUUCGCGCAUCUGCAUGGAUGCUGGCGUAAUGGUUAUCAGUGACCCGUCUUGAAACACGGACCCAAGGAGUCGUCUUCGUAUGCGAGUGUUCGGGUGUCAAACCCCUACGCGUAAUGAAAGUGAACGUAGGAGAGAGCUUCGGCGCAUCUCCGACCGAUCCUGAUGUUCUCGGAUGGAUUUGAGUAAGAGCAUACGGGGCCGGACCCGAAAGAAGGUGAACUAUGCCUGUAUAGGGUGAAGCCAGAGGAAACUCUGGUGGAGGCUCGCAGCGGUUCUGACGUGCA
rnacentral:rRNA from 1 species